rnacentral:rRNA from 1 species
UGGGGAAUUUUGGGCAAUGGGCGCAAGCCUGACCCAGCAACGCCGCGUGAAGGACGAAAUCCCUUUGGGAUGUAAACUUCGAAAGUUGGGGAAGAAAUCCUCGCCGCGAAGAGCAGCGAGGGAUGACGGUACCCACCGUAAGCCCCGGCUAACUACGUGCCAGCAGCCGCGGUAAUACGUAGGGGGCAAGCGUUGUUCGGAAUUACUGGGCGUAAAGGGCGCGUAGGCGGCCGCAGCACGUCAGAUGUGAAAGCCCAGGGCUCAACCCUGGAAGGUCAUCUGAAACGGCUCGGCUCGAGUGCGGAGGAGGCAUCUGGAAUUCCCAGUGUAGCGGUGAAAUGCGUAGAGAUUGGGAAGAACACCGGAGGCGAAGGCGGGAUGCUGGGCCGACACUGACGCUGAGGCGCGAAAGCCAGGGGAGCGAACGG